rnacentral:rRNA from 1 species
UACGAAGGGGGGCGAGCGUUGUUCGGAUUUACUGGGCGUAAAGGGCGCGUAGGCGGUCCUCCUAGUCGCGUGUGAAAGCCCCGGGCUCAACCUGGGGAAUUGCGCGCGAAACGGGGGGGCUUGAGUUCGGGAGAGGAGCGUGGAAUUCCCGAGUGUGAGAGGUGAAAUUCGUAGAUAUUGGGAAGAACACCGGGUGGCGAAAGGCGGC